AUUGAACGCUGGCGGCAGGCCUAACACAUGCAAGUCGAGCGAGCGGCGGACGGGUGAGUAAUGUCUGGGCAACUGCCUGAUGGAGGGGGAUAACUACUGGAAACGGUAGCUAAUACCGCAUACCAUCAGAUGUGCCCAGAUGGGAUUAGCUAGUAGGUGGGGUAAUGGCUCACCUAGGCGACGAUCCCUAGCAGGUCUGAGAGGAUGACCGGCCAACCGGGAACGGAGACACGGCCCAGACUCCUACGGUAGGCAGCAGUGGGGAAUAUUGGACAAUGGGCGCAAGCCUGAUGCAGCCAUGCCGCGUGUGUGAAGAAGGUAUUCGGGUUGUAAAGCACUUUCAGCGAGGAGGCGGUACUCGCAGAAGAAGCCCCGGCUAACUCCGUGCCAGCCGCCGCGGUAAUAC
rnacentral:rRNA from 1 species